GACUCUUAGAGGUGGAUGACUCGCCUCCUGCAUUGGUGAAGAAUGCAGCUAGCUCGAGAAUUAAUGUGAAUUGGAGGACAUUGAUCAUUGACACUUGGAAUGCACUUGCAGCCCAGGGUUCCUCCAGGGGCUAUGCCUGUCUGAGCAUGG
ensembl:rRNA 5_8S_rRNA 5.8S ribosomal RNA